rnacentral:rRNA from 1 species
UACGGGGGGGGCAAGCGUUGUUCGGAAUUACUGGGCGUAAAGGGCGCGUAGGCGGCCUGCUAAGUCACACGUGAAAUCCCUCGGCUCAACCGGGGAACUGCGUGUGAGACUGGAAGGCUUGAAUCCGGGAGAGGGAUGUGGAAUUCCAGGUGUAGCGGUGAAAUGCGUAGAUAUCUGGAGGAACACCGGUGGCGAAGGCGGCAUCCUGGACCGGUAUUGACGCUGAGGCGCGAAAGCCAGGGGAGCAAAGCGGG